rnacentral:lncRNA from 1 species
GGGCGGGACGCGGGUGCGGGGAGGGCCGAGUCGCCCGCCCGCCCGCCGCUGCACUGCGGCGCCCGUGGGUGGGGAUUCCGCCCCGGGGUGGGGACCCCGCGGUCCCGCUGCUGGGGGACACUGGGGGUGGCGACCCCGGUGGCCGGCCACCUGCGACAGGUGUCCGCUGCGUCCCUCGGAGACUGGGGCCCCACCCUCACCCCGGGGCCUCUGAGGCGGGGCGGGAGGGCAGGCGCCAAGGCAGAGUGGGGAGAGGGCUGCCAGUGUCUAUAUAUUUUUCAUACAGCAAAUGCUACUAAAAUGGCUGCUGCCUCUCUGUUUCCUUAGAAACCCAUGAGUCUUCCUCAGCAGCUGUCGAAACUUGCCGGCGGUUGCUUGCUCACCUUUGCUGUCUCCCCUUCAGAAAAGGCUGGAGGGGAGGGCGAGGAAGGCUUGGCGUGGGGACGCCCGUCGAGUCUCUCAGUGAGGAAUGAGAGGCCAGCUUCUCCUGCGGGGUAUGAAGGAGGAACUGUAUCUCCUAUAUAUAUUAAGUUUCAUUUAUAAAGACAUCAGAGAGCACCUGAGAAUGUUUCAAGGUCACCAAAAGCUUUCUGAAAAUGCCUUUCUGCAAAGAAGGUUUCCAGGUAAGGAGCUAGAGGAGAAAGGAGCUGCACAUCACCUGUCAUCACACAGAGGCUCAGAGUUGCCAUAGCUUUGGUUAUGAUACUAAUAAUAGUCGCCAUUUAUUGAACAUCCACUGAGUGUUAGACCCUGUGCAGUACUCCUUACAUGUGUGAUCCCAUUUAAUCUUCAGAACACUCUAUGAGGCAGAGCCAGAAAGACACUACUCCACAAACAGCAAUAAAUAUCCUUGAAAAUGUAGUGAAAUAUUGAAAAUGAUAUGUAUCAGUACUUUCAGGGAGAGUGUUAAUUGGAUUGGAAGGAAGACACUGAUGAGCUGCUGGGAGUGAGAGUGAGACCCUCGAGGAGUCCACAGUGCAUUUUAAGGAGUGUAGCUCUGAUGAACUGCAAGGCCUUUGUUUUGCUGUGUGGGGGCCCUGCCUCUUCUCUAAAGAGAAGUUGAAGACUUAUUUAAAGAACAUCCUUUCGAAGGAGAACCAACAAUCACUAGCUUGUCCAGAGCAUGCUCAUGUCUUCAUCCAGCCCUGGAGGUAGGUACAAGUAACUCCAAGAUACUCACUAAGACACUGAACUCAGGAAGGGUCCAUAACCCAGCUACAGGAGAUGGGGCCCCGGAGUGGAAUUUGGGUCUGUCUGAUUCCAAACCCUUCCACAUCAGUGAUGGUGUCCCUGUUUCUGCCAAUAGAAUGGGAGUAUAGGGCAUGUCUACAAUGACUGUCCAGAGGGUAAGAACAAAAUAGUUAUAAAUCAGUUUUUUAAUGUAAAAAUAGAGAAAUGUGUGAGGAAUUAAAAAACAGAGAUCCUUAAAACAUCAGGAAUAGCUUUACUGUCCUAUAGAUUAUCUUGUGAUCUGAAAGGGAUUUGAUUGCUGGUCAAGAACUACAGGAGUAAAGGAAACUCUGUUGAUAAUUAGUUAUUAUAGUAUUAAGAGGAAGAAAACAGGCUUUUGCUUGGAUUGGAUGGGAAAGGCAAAGAACCAAAGAAUAUUUAUUCAUUUCCCUCUCUUUAAAAGAACACAAUAUAUGUCAGUCCCAAAAGAGCAUAUGUUGUAUGAUCCUAUUUAUGUGAAACUUCCAGAAAAAGCGAAUCUAUAGAGAUGGAAAAUAGAUUAGGGAUUGCCUAAGGCUGGGAGGUGGGAAUAAGGGAUGACUGCAGAUGGGCCUGAGAAAUCUUCUAGAAAUGAUCUAAAAUUGAACUGUGGUGAUGGAUACACAACUCUAUAAAUUUAAUAACAAUCAUCAAAUGGUAUAGUUAAAAUGAGUGAAUUUUACAGUAUGCAAAUUAUCUCAAUAAAAAUGUUAAGUAAAUAAAAUAUUAAUAAACCUAUAUGGAGAGGAAAAAUAAUAUGAUUGAUCUUUUGGGGGGAAACAGAGAAAAAUAUAGGAGAAAAAGUAAAAAUUACCCAUAAUUCCAUAACAUAGAGGUAAUACUGUUAAUAUUUUAGUGCAUUUAAUUCUAAACUUUUCUAUUAUGAAAAGAUACAAUCAAGGCCAAGCACAGUGGCUCACAUCUGUAGUCCCAACAAUUUCGGAGGACAAGGCAGGAGGAUUGCUUGAGGCCAGGAGUUCAAGACCAGCCAGGGCAACAUAGUGAGACCCCCCCCAUCUCUACAAAAAUUAAAAAAAAAUUAAAAAUUAGAAGUGAUAUGAUCAUACAUGUACCCACAAACACAUACAUAUAACUAGCUAUGUGUAUGUAUAUGUGUGCAUAUAUGUAUGUGUAUAGAUACAUGUAUUCAAACAGACUUGAAAGCAUUAAUAGUUUAUAGGCUACUUUUUCUAUUGGAAUGGAAAAAUGCUUUACUUUCCUUAAAAAAUCCUUAAACAUUUUUUCCUGGCCACCAAAUAUUCUAGUGUACAGUUAUAAUUUACUUACACUAUCUUUUGAGACUUGUUUUUUCACUUGGAAAAGGUAUUAUCUGUUUAAUCUCCUUCCUAUAGUUUAGUGAAUUCUUUCUCUACUAGAGAACUAAGAUCUCUACUGAAGAUCUCCAUGAGACAAGGAUGAGACAAGACCAAUAUCUGUUAAUGCUAUGUAGAUCCUCGAAUGAGUUGCUAAAAUGUCUGAUUUCCAUUUUGUUCAUCUGAGCAGAGGUUCAAAGUUAGGAAUUUGAAGGCAGGCAGCCAAGUUCAAAUUGCAGCCAUAUCUUCUACUAAAUGUUUGGCCUUAAAUUAACUACUUAGCCUAAGACUCCGUUUCAUCAUCUGUAGAGUGGAGAAAUUAAUAGUAUUAUACAUGAAUUUGGUAUUUGUAAGAUAUUUAGCAUAAGUGCCAAGCACAUAGUGAGUGUUCAAUAACUCUUAGCUAUUAUUCUCCAUAUAGUGCAAAUAAUACUAGGUGCUCUCUGCAUUUCACAGGGACCUGGUGGUGAUAAGCUGUCGAGAUCACUUAUGCUAAAGGGCUUCGACAUCUAUAAAUUGCAAGUUUUGGCUAUAAAGGAUAUGAGGGAUGGGUCUCCUGAGAAACCCAUAGAAAUUCUCCAGGAAAUUCUAUCAUAGAUUGGGCAUUCACUCAUAUCCGUAUAUGGGGAAAAAUCUGAUUCACCAUGUUUUAGGUACCUCAUUGGAAGGUAGGUUAUAAAAACACAUCUAUCACUCCUGCUGGUGAUAUAACCAAUUCAAUGAAGACGCAGUAUUCCUUCGGUGAAAUCAUAAAAGCAAUUUUAAUGUUUUAUCUCACUGUCCUUUUAAACUUGCUCAGUGAAGGCAAUUCUACCCCUGCCACUGGAUAUAGCUUGUUUGGUCACUUAUAGGUAAUAGAAAGUACCAGAUUCUUUCUAUUAGAAUGCCCAAACCAAUAUAUCACUACAUAUUUCAAUCUUCAUUUCAAAGAAAAGAACUCUGCCCUCCUCCCCAACCUACAGCUGGUCACAGGCAGGUCUCAGCCUUUAGGAGAGAAGACGUGGUCAGCUUCUCCUUUCCUUCCUCAUCCCAGACCACCAUGAAAGCUGCUGGUUUUGACCCUUCCAGAAUCAGAGUAGGGAAGGGAAGAGAGAAAAGAAGGGGCAAGAAAGUUCUUACUUUACUGGGACAGUUGUAAGAUGGCAUUGUCUUUUCCAAACCUGGCUAAUGUCAAACCUGCUCUUUAUCUUGUGGGUGCCUUCAUUUUUUCUUAGGUGCCCCUGCUGCUGGGCCCCCCACAUAAGCAAGUGUCACUGGAUUUCCUGAGUCCCCCUCCAAAUUUCCUCCCUCCGUAGGACUCCCAAUUUAUCUUCCACCCACACCCCAGCUGUCUUCUUGAGCAGGAUUUAAAGGGGCUCCAGGAUCGUUCUCUUCUGUGUGUCCCACAUUUGGUCCAUAGGGACACUCAACACCUAUUUUGCUCUAAUAAACUCAGAGUGCAGACCAAUCCUACCAACCGUGCAGCCUCUUCACUCGCCAAAGAGGCUCACCAAUCCCUCUCUCCUGAUCUGUAGGUUUCCAGGGCUGGAGUCAGACAACAAUCCCCUAUGCUCCCAACUUACAGGUUCUCUGAGUGGCCCACAUGGAGAGGAAAAAAUAGUAUGAGAAAUAUUACUUUUCAAGACUUUCCAUGACUAAAACAAGAAAAUACUCCUGUUUUAGUCAUGGUUCUCCAGAGAAAUAGAACCAAUGGAUUAUAUAUCUGUAACUAUGUCUAUAUCUGUAUCUAUAAAAGGAGACUUAUUAUGAGGAAUUGGCUCCCACAAUUAUGGAAGCUGAGAAGUCCUACCAUAUGCCAUCUGCAAGAUGGAAACCCAAGAAAGCGGUGUAAUUCAGUCUGAAUCCAAAAGCCUGAAAACUAAGGAAGCUGCUAAAAAUCCCAAUCCAAGAGCAGAAGACGAGAUGUCCCCAUGCUAGCAGUAAGGCAGGAAAAAAGGGGCAAAUUUCUCUUUUUGUUCUGUUCAGGCCCCCCAACUAAUGGGAUGCUGCCUCCUUGAGGAGGGCAAUCUACUGAGUCCACUGAUUGAAAUGCUGAUCACAUCCAGAAAAACCCUCACAAACACACAAAGAAACAGUGUUUAAUCUGGGGACCCGUUGGUCCACUCAAGGUGACACAUAAAAUUAACCAUUACAACUCCUCACAAAAUCUUCCUUUAAUUUCUCCUUCGUAGGCACUAUUUCCCCCUUCAGGUGAGAAGUUUUAGACCCAUGAAACUGGUCUUUAGUAUUUUGAUUGAAAGUUUGCAUCUUGGCAUCUCACUUUGGAAUUUCAUAGCUAUUCUAUUUUGGUGCCUGACGUGAAACUUGCAAUUUAACAUCUGUGACUUGGGCUAGUGAAAACUGAAUCAAGUCAACUUCCUUCCACACCUUCAACAUUAAUUCCUACUCAACCAAGACAAUUGCCUUUUCUACGCAAAGUGAUUCGCCUGGGACUUGGGAGGAAUACCAUACUCAUUAGGGAAGUACAGCUCUUACAGUCUCCUGAGCUUUCUAAAAAAGAAAUGCGUAAUUAAAAAUAUCUGAUCAGGAGAGUCCCAAUUUGUGGGUAACAAUAAAAAGGUUGUGGUUUGUUUUAAAACUGUGAUUUGUCCAUUUAGGGGAAUAUAUUUGGAUUAAGAUCUUAAAGCGAUAAUAAGGGGAGACAGGAAAGUGGCUAAAAUUUUAUUUACGAUAACACUUUUUUUUAGACUUUACUGCUAAAGCAAAAGUCACAAAUGACCCACAUUUAGGACCUCAAUAUUUUCAGUACUAAAUUAAGUAUUGAGGAAAGAAAAGAACUUUCAUCUGAGGAUUGUGAGCCCUUACGAAUUGUUAGGCCCAGAGAGGCAUUAAAAUGAGAUCACAGUUGUGCCCUAUUACCCACUCUGAGCUAUGUAUUUAUCUCCUGCAACUGCUUAGCUAUUGUCACAGUAGCUAUAAAUUAACCUAAUAAUGCCACACCAGACACUAUAACCCACACCCUAUAGCUUACCAACGCAUAGCCAAUCACUAAUCAGUGUUAAGUCUGUAAACCAAUGAGAAUUCCUGACAAACAACUUUGUAUCAGCCCACUCACUGUUUUCCUUUCUUACCUUUAAAAGUCUGCCUGUAGGCCCUUUGCAGUGGCUCACUCCUGUAAUCCCAGCACUUAGGGAGGCCAAGGCAGGUGGGUCGCUUGAGGCCAGGAGUUCAAGACCAGCCUGGGCAACAUGGCGAAACCCCAUGUCUGCAAAAAAUACAAAAAUCAGCCAGGCAUGGUGGCACUCGCCUAUAGUCCCAGCUACUUGGCGGGGCUAAGGUGGGAAGAUCACUUGAACCUGGGAGGUUGAGGCUGCAGUAAGCUGAGAUUGCACCACUGCACUGCAGCCUGGGUGACAAAGUGAGACCCUGUUUAAAAAGGAAAAAAGGAAAAGAAAAAAAAAAGAUAAAUAAAAGUCCACCUGUAACUGCUACUAAUCAGAGGGUCUAUUCAGGGCAGCAUGCAUCUAUGCUCCUGGGCUGCAAUCUUCAAACUCCCGGCCCAAAUAAACUCCUACUUAUAUUAACUCUGCCUCAGUUCCUUUCUUUUGGAUCGACAGUAUUAUUACAUUUCUUUGUGACUU